UUAAGCGACUAAGCGUACACGGUGGAUGCCUAGGCAGUCAGAGGCGAUGAAGGGCGUGCUAAUCUGCGAAAAGCGUCGGUAAGCUGAUAUGAAGCGUUAUAACCGACGAUACCCGAAUGGGGAAACCCAGUGCAAUACGUUGCACUAUCGUUAGAUGAAUACAUAGUCUAACGAGGCGAACCGGGGGAACUGAAACAUCUAAGUACCCCGAGGAAAAGAAAUCAACCGAGAUUCCCCCAGUAGCGGCGAGCGAACGGGGAGGAGCCCAGAGUCUGAAUCAGUUUGUGUGUUAGUGGAAGCGUCUGGAAAGUCGCACGGUACAGGGUGAUAGUCCCGUACACCAAAAUGCACAGGCUGUGAACUCGAUGAGUAGGGCGGGACACGUGACAUCCUGUCUGAAUAUGGGGGGACCAUCCUCCAAGGCUAAAUACUCCUGACUGACCGAUAGUGAACCAGUACCGUGAGGGAAAGGCGAAAAGAACCCCGGCGAGGGGAGUGAAAUAGAACCUGAAACCGUGUACGUACAAGCAGUGGGAGCACCUUCGUGGUGUGACUGCGUACCUUUUGUAUAAUGGGUCAGCGACUUAUAUUUUGUAGCAAGGUUAACCGAAUAGGGGAGCCGUAGGGAAACCGAGUCUUAACUGGGCGUCUAGUUGCAAGGUAUAGACCCGAAACCCGGUGAUCUAGCCAUGGGCAGGUUGAAGGUUGGGUAACACUAACUGGAGGACCGAACCGACUAAUGUUGAAAAAUUAGCGGAUGACUUGUGGCUGGGGGUGAAAGGCCAAUCAAACCGGGAGAUAGCUGGUUCUCCCCGAAAGCUAUUUAGGUAGCGCCUCGUGAACUCAUCUUCGGGGGUAGAGCACUGUUUCGGCUAGGGGGCCAUCCCGGCUUACCAAACCGAUGCAAACUCCGAAUACCGAAGAAUGUUAUCACGGGAGACACACGGCGGGUGCUAACGUCCGUCGUGAAGAGGGAAACAACCCAGACCGCCAGCUAAGGUCCCAAAGUCAUGGUUAAGUGGGAAACGAUGUGGGAAGGCACAGACAGCCAGGAUGUUGGCUUAGAAGCAGCCAUCAUUUAAAGAAAGCGUAAUAGCUCACUGGUCGAGUCGGCCUGCGCGGAAGAUGUAACGGGGCUAAACCAUGCACCGAAGCUGCGGCAGCGACACUUAGGUGUUGUUGGGUAGGGGAGCGUUCUGUAAGCCGUUGAAGGUGACCUGUGAGGGUUGCUGGAGGUAUCAGAAGUGCGAAUGCUGACAUAAGUAACGAUAAUGCGGGUGAAAAACCCGCACGCCGGAAGACCAAGGGUUCCUGUCCAACGUUAAUCGGGGCAGGGUGAGUCGACCCCUAAGGCGAGGCUGAAAAGCGUAGUCGAUGGGAAACAGGUUAAUAUUCCUGUACUUGGUGUUACUGCGAAGGGGGGACGGAGAAGGCUAGGCUGGCCGGGCGACGGUUGUCCCGGUUUAAGCGUGUAGGGGGAGUGACCAGGUAAAUCCGGUUGCUUAUCAACCCUGAGGCGUGAUGACGAUGCACCACGGUGCAGAAGCAGUUGAUGCCAUGCUUCCAGGAAAAGCCUCUAAGCAUCAGGUAACAUUAAAUCGUACCCCAAACCGACACAGGUGGUCAGGUAGAGAAUACUCAGGCGCUUGAGAGAACUCGGGUGAAGGAACUAGGCAAAAUGGUGCCGUAACUUCGGGAGAAGGCACGCUGGCGUUAGGUGAAAGGACUAGCUCCUGGAGCUGAAGCCAGUCGCAGAUACCAGCUGGCUGCAACUGUUUAAUAAAAACACAGCACUGUGCAAACACGAAAGUGGACGUAUACGGUGUGACGCCUGCCCGGUGCUGGAAGGUUAAUUGAUGGGGUCAGCCGCAAGGGGAAGCUCUUGAUCGAAGCCCCAGUAAACGGCGGCCGUAACUAUAACGGUCCUAAGGUAGCGAAAUUCCUUGUCGGGUAAGUUCCGACCUGCACGAAUGGCGUAAUGAUGGCCAGGCUGUCUCCACCCGAGACUCAGUGAAAUUGAACUCGCUGUGAAGAUGCAGUGUACCCGCGGCAAGACGGAAAGACCCCGUGAACCUUUACUAUAGCUUGACACUGAACAUUGAGCCUUGAUGUGUAGGAUAGGUGGGAGGCCUUGAAGUGUGGACGCCAGUCUGCAUGGAGCCAACCUUGAAAUACCACCCUUUAAUGUUUGAUGUUCUAACUCGGCCCCAUGAUCUGGGGUGAGGACAGUGUCUGGUGGGUAGUUUGACUGGGGCGGUCUCCUCCCAAAGAGUAACGGAGGAGCACGAAGGUUAGCUAAUCACGGUCGGACAUCGUGAGGUUAGUGCAAAGGCAUAAGCUAGCUUGACUGCGAGAGUGACGGCUCGAGCAGGUACGAAAGUAGGUCUUAGUGAUCCGGUGGUUCUGAAUGGAAGGGCCAUCGCUCAACGGAUAAAAGGUACUCCGGGGAUAACAGGCUGAUACCGCCCAAGAGUUCAUAUCGACGGCGGUGUUUGGCACCUCGAUGUCGGCUCAUCACAUCCUGGGGCUGAAGUAGGUCCCAAGGGUAUGGCUGUUCGCCAUUUAAAGUGGUACGCGAGCUGGGUUUAGAACGUCGUGAGACAGUUCGGUCCCUAUCUGCCGUGGGCGUUGGAAGAUUGAGAGGGGCUGCUCCUAGUACGAGAGGACCGGAGUGGACGAAUCACUGGUGUUCGGGUUGUCAUGCCAAUGGCAUUGCCCGGUAGCUAAAUUCGGAAGAGAUAACCGCUGAAAGCAUCUAAGCGGGAAACUUGCCUCGAGAUGAGUCUUCCCUGGGGCUUAAAGCCCCCUGAAGGAACGUUAAAGACUAUGACGUUGAUAGGCUGGGUGUGUAAGUGCAGCGAUGUAUUGAGCUAACCAGUACUAAUGAUCCGUGAGGCUUAACCUU
rnacentral:rRNA from 1 species